rnacentral:rRNA from 1 species
ACAGGUUAAUAUUCCUGUACUUGGUGUUACUGCGAAGGGGGGACGGAGAAGGCUAUGUUAGCCGGGCGACGGUUGUCCCGGUUUAAGCAUGUAGGCUGGUUAUCCAGGCAAAUCCGGAUAACCAAGGCUGAGGUGUGAUGACGAGGCACUACGGUGCUGAAGUAACAAAUGCCCUGCUUCCAGGAAAAGCCUCUAAGCAUCAGGUAACAUUAAAUCGUACCCCAAACCGACACAGGUGGUCAGGUAGAGAAUACCAAGGCGCUUGAGAGAACUCGGGUGAAGGAACUAGGCAAAAUGGUGCCGUAACUUCGGGAGAAGGCACGCUGGUGUGUAGGUGAAGUCCCUGCGGAUGGAGCUGAGACCAGUCGAAGAUACCAGCUGGCUGCAACUGUUUAUUAAAAACACAGCACUGUGCAAACACGAAAGUGGACGUAUACGGUGUGACGCCUGCCCGGUGCCGGAAGGUUAAUUGAUGGGGUUAUCCGUAAGGAGAAGCUCUUGAUCGAAGCCCCGGUAAACGGCGGCCGUAACUNUUGGUGCCUUCGGGAACUGUGAGACAGGUGCUGCAUGGCUGUCGUCAGCUCGUGUUGUGAAAUGUUGGGUUAAGUCCCGCAACGAGCGCAACCCUUAUCCUUUGUUGCCAGCGGUCCGGCCGGGAACUCAAAGGAGACUGCCAGUGAUAAACUGGAGGAAGGUGGGGAUGACGUCAAGUCAUCAUGGCCCUUACGACCAGGGCUACACACGUGCUACAAUGGCAUAUACAAAGUGAAGCGACCUCGCGAGAGCAAGCGGACCUCAUAAAGUAUGUCGUAGUCCGGAUUGGAGUCUGCAACUCGACUCCAUGAAGUCGGAAUCGCUAGUAAUCGUAGAUCAGAAUGCUACGGUGAAUACGUUCCCGGGCCUUGUACACACCGCCCGUCACACCAUGGGAGUGGGUUGCAAAAGAAGUAGGUAGCUUAACCUUCGGGAGGGCGCUUACCACUUUGUGAUUCAUGACUGGGGUGAAGUCGUAACAAGGUAACCGUAGGGGAACCUGCGGUUG